rnacentral:rRNA from 1 species
UACGUCCCGGGCCUUGUACACACCGCCCGUCAAGUCACGAAAGUCGGUAACACCCGAAGCCGGUGGCCCAACCCUCGUGGAGGGAGCCGUCGAAGGUGGGACUGGCGAUUGGGACU